rnacentral:rRNA from 1 species
UGGGGAAUAUUGGACAAUGGGCGAAAGCCUGAUCCAGCCAUGCCGCGUGUGUGAAGAAGGUCUUCGGAUUGUAAAGCACUUUAAGUUGGGAGGAAGGGCAUUAACCUAAUACGUUAGUGUUUUGACGUUACCGACAGAAUAAGCACCGGCUAACUCUGUGCCAGCAGCCGCGGUAAUACAGAGGGUGCAAGCGUUAAUCGGAAUUACUGGGCGUAAAGCGCGCGUAGGUGGUUUGUUAAGUUGGAUGUGAAAGCCCCGGGCUCAACCUGGGAACUGCAUCCAAAACUGGCAAGCUAGAGUACGGUAGAGGGUGGUGGAAUUUCCUGUGUAGCGGUGAAAUGCGUAGAUAUAGGAAGGAACACCAGUGGCGAAGGCGACCACCUGGACUGAUACUGACACUGAGGUGCGAAGGCGUGGGGAGCAAACA